GACGAACGCUGGCGGCGUGCUUAACACAUGCAAGUCGAACGAAGAGCGAUGGAAGCUUGCUUCUAUCAAUCUUAGUGGCGAACGGGUGAGUAACGCGUAAUCAACCUGCCCUUCAGAGGGGGACAACAGUUGGAAACGACUGCUAAUACCGCAUACGAUCUAAUCUCGGCAUCGAGGAUGGAUGAAAGGUGGCCUCUACAUGUAAGCUAUCACUGAAGGAGGGGAUUGCGUCUGAUUAGCUAGUUGGAGGGGUAACGGCCCACCAAGGCGAUGAUCAGUAGCCGGUCUGAGAGGAUGAACGGCCACAUUGGGACUGAGACACGGCCCAGACUCCUACGGGAGGCAGCAGUGGGGAAUCUUCCGCAAUAGACGAAAGUCUGACGGAGCAACGCCGCGUGAGUGAUGACGGCCUUCGGGUUGUAAAGCUCUGUUAAUCGGGACGAAAGGCCUUCUUGCGAAUAGUGAGAAGGAUUGACGGUACCGGAAUAGAAAGCCACGGCUAACUACGUG
rnacentral:rRNA from 1 species